AAGAAAUGGAACGCUGGGUUCUAGAAGGCGACAGCUACUCUUUUCUUCGCAGUGCUCCACACACGUUCAACCUGCAGAGUCAUGAAGGGCCAAAUCGUGUGGAGAUCUUUGAUAUCACUUCCAUCCCCAGCCAUCAUAAUGCCAUAUCUGAAACAACCUGCCUGUGUGACAUUUUUGGGGAUGACGGCGAGUCUCCGUCACUUUCCAGCAGCCCAGCCUCUGCCGCAUUUAUCAGGAGGGAAGUGGAUCAGUCUUUUCCAGUAGAUGAUACCAAUGACUCUUUAGGAUCUUACCACACUGCCAAUGGAUCCGACUUAAGCGACAAUGCUGAAGUCACUUACAACACACCUUCUCCAGAAAAUACACCAGAUUUUUCCACAUCUGAGACCAGGGAAUCACGUUCACCACCAACUAAAUCACCCAUCUUGUCUGAUACCAAAAAUAGACUUAACCAAUUAGAGUGCACACCACCUGCAUCCAAAGUCAAUAGUAGUGACCUUUCACAUACAGAUAACUGGGAAGAAUCCCAAGUGUCAGUAAUCACUGCCCCAGUGAAUGAAACGGCAAUCACAAAUGCAUCUGAACCACAGUAUGUGAAUUCAACACCAGCUACCACCCUGAUUAAUCCGGCAAAGAAACCUUCUAAUCCUACAUCCUGCUCUUCAGAAGAGAAAGAACCUGCUGUUUUUGAGCAAGAAGGAAUUAUUAAAACACCUCAACAUACAAGCACAAGCCCAUUUUUAGAUAAACAAAUAUUUGAGUCAGACUGUGAAUCUUUGGCAGUAUCUCCACUUAAACAAAAUGUUGUGAUGUCUUCUGAGGACAAAGUGAGUAUGAUCUAUUGUAGUCCACGAGAGCAAAACAUUCUCUUUGUGCAAGGGACGAUGAACAGUGGCUCUGCAUCAGAACUGUCAAACCCUUCUCCAACAGAUUUCAGCCUUAUGCAGGAAAUGUUUACUUCAUCUUCAUCCAUAACCAGUGUCAUGCCAGAACCCAGAUUAACCUCCACCUCGCCUGUAAGCAAGGAAACUACCUCCACACCUGCAUCCACCGGUAGAUCUUCACCUGAGCUGCUGAAUUUGUGUCCAACUCAAGUUAGGAACACAUCAGAGACUCCAGACUUGGAGGACAAUUAUGGUGCUACUUUAUCUGUAUCUACACUGCCUACCAGUGAUAAUGGGAAAAUAGAUUCCCUAUCUGUGUCUGACAUUUCUACUGAAACAAGAGGACUGGUAUACUCAUCCAAAGAUAGAAGAGAAAGACUGGAAUCACCUGAGAUCAAUGAAACCUGCUCUUCUCCUGAUCACUCAGCACCUGGUCACUCACAAGAACCAGUACUGAUUCACUCCCCUGUAGGUUACACCAUCAGUCCAUCACCUACAUAUGAGAAAAUAUCUUCUUCAGUCCAACCUGAAGACUCACCAUCCUCCCC
ensembl:lncRNA